rnacentral:rRNA from 1 species
UACGGAGGGUGCAAGCGUUAUCCGGAUUCACUGGGUUUAAAGGGUGCGUAGGUGGGUUGGUAAGUCAGUGGUGAAAUCUCCAGGCUUAACUUGGAAACUGCCAUUGAUACUAUCAAUCUUGAAUACCGUGGAGGUCAGCGGAAUAUGUCAUGUAGCGGUGAAAUGCGUAGAUAUCGUAAGGAAGACCAGUGGCGAAGGCGGGGCUCUGGACAGUUCCUGACGCUGAGGCACGAAGGCCAGGGGAGCAAACGGG